CCUACGGGAGGCAGCAGUGGGGAAUUUUGGACAAUGGGCGCAAGCCUGAUCCAGCUAUUCCGCGUGUGGGAUGACGGCCCUCGGGUUGUAAACCACUUUUGUAGAGAACGAAAAGACACCUUUUAAUAAAGGGUGUUGCUGACGGUACUCUACGAAUAACCACCGGCUAACUACGUGCCAGCAUCCGCGGUAAUGCGUAGGGUGCGAGCGUUAAUCGGAAUUACUGGGCGUAAAGGGCGCGCAGGCGGUUGAGUAAGACAGAUGUGAAAUCCCAGGGCUUAACUGGGGAAUGGCAGAUGUGACGGCUCGACUAGAGUGUGUCAGAGGGAGGUGGAAUUCCAGGUGUAGCAGUGAAAUGCGUAGAUAUGUGGAAGAACACCGAUGGCGAAGGCAGCCUCCUGGGACAUAACUGACGCUCAGGCACGAAAGCGUGGGGAGCAAACAGGAGUAGAUACCCGAGUAGUC
rnacentral:rRNA from 1 species